UUACUCCGGAGAAAUCUGAUAAUCAGAUGCCGAAGGGGCAAGGCGCAAUUGACGCAUAAUCUCUCAGGCAAAAGGACGGAGACAU
rnacentral:ncRNA from 1 species